GAAGGGCCAUAGCUCAGUGGCAGAGCAUCUGCUUUGCAUUCAGAAGACCUUGGGAUCAGUCCCCAGCAUCUUCA